CCGGACGAAGUUCUCACAACGGCCGUUAGGGUUUAUCAGGUCGGUGGGAUUUUCGUCCGUCU
rnacentral:pre_miRNA from 1 species